ACCCCCCCCCGGGAGGGGGCCUGGGAGGUUUUCCGGACCCCGCGGUUCCCCAAGUUAGGGGCUCUUCCUCGGGGACCCCCCCCCCCCCCCCGGAGCUGGGCCUGCAGGCAAAGCUCAAAGUCAGAACCUGGUAAAACUCAAAAGUAGGUCAGGAAAAUAGAAUCGUAAAAGAUGUCAGAGAGUCAAGUGAAGAAAGGAGAGAGAGGGAAAAAAAGACCUUUCGUUGGUGCUUAAGCCAGUAAAACCUCUUGGUGACUUCCUCCGCACCAGUGCCCAACAAAUGUCUGAACUGUUGAGCGUCCAAGACAAGGAAAGCGUGACCUGUAUGUGGCCCGAGAACUGAAUGGACCCAACGUGGAGAAGAACAAGACAGCUCCGCGGUAUAAUGGUUGAACUGGGGGAAUAAGGCAACUUGAUAGUUGUGUGAGACUUAAAAGUAUGAAAAAAAAAAAAAAAGCUAAUGGGUAUUUAUUGAAAUUAUCUAAGUGUGAGUUGUUUUUUUUUUUUUU
rnacentral:lncRNA from 12 species